GACGAACGCUGGCGGCGUGCUUAACACAUGCAAGUCGAACGGAAAGGCCUCUUCGGGGGUACUCGAGUGGCGAACGGGAGAGUAACACGCGGGUGAUCUGCCCUGCACUCUGGGAGAAGCCUGGGAAACUGGGUCGAAUACCGGAUAGGACCGCACGCUAGAGCGAGCGGGGGAAGGAGUUUUCGGUGUCGGAUGAGCCCGCGGCCGACCAGCUUGUUGGUGGGGUAAUGGCCUACCAAGGCGGCGACGGGUAGCCGGACUGAGAGGUUGGGCGGCCACAUUGGGACUGGGAUACGGCCCAGACUCCUACGGGAGGCAGCAGUGGGGAAUAUUGCACUAUGGGCGCGAGCCUGAUGCAGCGCCGCCGCGUGGGCGAUGACGGCCUUCGGGUUGUAAACGCCUUUCGCCAGGGACGAAGCGUUUUGUGACGGUACCUGGAGAAGAAGCCCCGGCUAACUACGUG
rnacentral:rRNA from 1 species